rnacentral:rRNA from 1 species
UGGGGAAUAUUGCACAAUGGGCGCAAGCCUGAUGCAGCAACGCCGCGUGAACGAUGAAGGUCUUCGGAUCGUAAAGCUCUGUUGCAGGGGAAGAUAAUGACGGUACCCUGUGAGGAAGCCCCGGCUAACUACGUGCCAGCAGCCGCGGUAAUACGUAGGGGGCUAGCGUUAUCCGGAUUUACUGGGCGUAAAGGGUGCGUAGGUGGUCUUUCAAGUCGGUGGUUAAAGGCUACGGCUCAACCGUAGUUAGCCUCCGAAACUGGAAGACUUGAGUGCAGGAGAGGAAAGUGGAAUUCCCAGUGUAGCGGUGAAAUGCGUAGAUAUUGGGAGGAACACCAGUAGCGAAGGCGGCUUUCUGGACUGCAACUGACGCUGAGGCACGAAAGCGUGGGUAGCAAACAGG